rnacentral:rRNA from 1 species
UACGGAAGGCAGCAGUGGGGAAUAUUGCACAAUGGGCGCAAGCCUGAUGCAGCCAUGCCGCGUGUAUAAAAAGGCCUUCGGGUUGUAAAGUACUUUCAGUCGUGAGGAAGGUGUUAAGGUUAAUAACCUUAGCAAUUGACGUUAGCGACAGAAGAAGCACCGGCUAACUCCGUGCCAGCAGCCGCGGUAAUACGGAGGGUGCGAGCGUUAAUCGGAAUUACUGGGCGUAAAGGGCACGCAGGCGGUUAAUUAAGUUGGAUGUGAAAUCCCCGGGCUUAACCUGGGAAUGGCAUUCAAGACUGGUUAGCUAGAGUCUUGUAGAGGGGGUUAGAAUUCCAUGUGUAGCGGUGAAAUGCGUAGAGAUGUGGAGGAAUACCGGUGGCGAAGGCGGCCCCUGGACAAAGACUGACGCUCAUGUGCGAAAGCGUGGGGAGCAAACAGGGAUUAGAUACCCG